GCAAGAGAGAAGAAGAUAUGGGAAGAGAAGAGAUAAAAAACGAUUUAAUUGCGUUAUUUGAGGGAUUUUCUCCUUCUUUUUCUCUAUCGAGUUCUUCUCUUUCUCCCUCUUUAGAGUG
rnacentral:ribozyme from 1 species